rnacentral:lncRNA from 1 species
CCGGGUCAGCCCGAUCCCGGGAGCCUCGGUCAAAGGUGCUGGAACAGAGAGAGUGCUGUGGCCAGGUGGGAGCUCAUCACCGGACCAGGACCACCCGUCACGCUGGGACCCUGGACGCCAGCCUUGUCCCUCGCACACUGGUGAUGUAGUUCAGCACUCUCCACUGUGGAGUGGAAUGCUGCGACCCACCCGCUGUCACCCCGCAGCCCGCAGAGGAGCUGACGCAGAUUCCCCCCAGUUCUCAGGACCAGGCCCGCGCUGGGACAGAAUUCAGCCAAGUCAACCUCUAGUGUCAUUAGCACUCUGCAGUCCCCACCCUAUGUCCCCAAAUGCCACUGUGCUCUGACGGCAGAACCAGCUGGGCAUGUUUAACACACUGAUUUCUGGACUUCCAAAGUGGACACCUGGUUCAGUGGAAAACAAGGUCACAGGCGUGCUUUGAAAUUCCUGGUCAGGGUCACACACACACGUACACACAGGCGCGCGCGCGCACACACACACACACACCCAGGUACACACACAGGCGCACACUCAUGGAAACACUCCACAACGUUCACAUCUCCCUAAUCGAGCCUAUUAAAACAGAAUCACAGCUGGGAAAAGAUCUGCCUUAGCCUCACAAUAAGAUACCCCUGUGGAUACGUCACCCCCUCCUUGAGGAUUUCUGGUGGCAGAAGUGCUCUGUCCCACAGUGAUUAGCCCUAGCAGAAGUUCUCCAUCCAGCUUCUAAGUGCUCUGGGCAGCCCAGUCCUGGAG